rnacentral:rRNA from 1 species
GGUCAGGAUGAACGCUGGCGGCGUGCUUAACACAUGCAAGUCGAACGAAGCAGCUUCUGCUGCAAGAAAGCUGACUUAGUGGCGGACGGGUGAGUAACGCGUGGGUAACCUGCCUCAUACAGGGGGAUAACAGUUGGAAACGACUGCUAAGACCGCAUAACCCGCUAGUGUCGCAUGACACGGACGGAAAAAUAUUUAAUUUUAACGAGUUAAAAUUUGGUAUGAGAUGGGCCCGCGUCUGAUUAGCUAGUUGGUAAGGUAACGGCUUACCAAGGCGACGAUCAGUAGCCGACUUGAGAGAGUGAUCGGCCACAUUGGGACUGAGACACGGCCCAAACUCCUACGGGAGGCAGCAGUGGGGAAUAUUGGACAAUGGGGGAAACCCUGAUCCAGCGAACCGCCGCGUGAGUGAAGAAGUAUUUCGGUAUGUAAAGCUCUAUCAGCAGGGAAGAUAAUGACAGUACCAGACUAAGAAGCCCCGGCUAACUACGUGCCAGCCGCUGC